GUGAGCUACAGCCUCUGGCCUGGUUUUCUUCUUUUAAACUACAUGGUUUUCUUUAUUUGCUUUCACUUCUCUUAUAUACUGUAUUUCGUUAUGUCUCAGAUACCAUUGGUGGUUGUGUGCUUCGUUAUUUUGUGUACCAUUAAUACAGUUAAAUGCUGUCAAAGAAAGUAUGACAUUCCAUUGAUUGAAAUACGCAUGCUGAUUUCAGAUAGACAAAUGUGAAAAAGGUACAUCCUAGAAUAAACAUGGUAGUUUGUAGUUCUGUGGGUAUUAUAAAGCUAUAGCUUUAAUAUAUUUAAAUCUAUUGUGUUUAUCAAAUAGUUUUUUCAGGAGUGGUUGAGUGCUCUUAUGUUUAAAAAUGUCUGUUAGUGGCUUUCACAAGCAAAAUGAUGUUUUGGCUGGUUACAGAAUUUUUGGGCUACAUUUCCCUUUCCCUUAAUACCCAGCAGACACUGUUCCAUUAUCUUCUGGCAUCUAGGGUUACUCUAGAAAAGUCUGGGCCAGCCUGACUGUUUUUUUCCCUUUGUAGGUGACCUACUUCUGCCUGAGUAUUGCUAGAAUUCUUUCUUUAUCCUUGAAGUUCAGUAACUUCAUCAGGAUAUAACUCGGUCUUGGUGUGAUUCUCUAUUACAUUUUCCUGUUAAAUGACAUUCUCUGUUGACUUCUUGCUAUGACAGAUGUUUUCAGUCCCACUUCUCACUACUGACCUUCCUCGUACGACGGUCACUGAACUGGCGCCUCUCUGGGGUUCUGCCCAGAAGAUUAGCCUUCCUCCUUCGCUGCAGCUCCUCUAACUCAACAAAAAUCCAGUGGAAGGCUUUUCUGCAGGUUUAAUAGAUGACAAUGAUCUCUACCGAUGGGAAGUCCUUAUUAUUGGCCCUCCAGAUACACUUUAUGAAGGUGGUGUUUUUAAGGCUCAUCUUACUUUCCCAAAAGAUUAUCCCCUCCGACCUCCUAAAAUGAAAUUCAUUACAGAAAUCUGGCACCCAAAUGUUGAUAAAAAUGGUGAUGUGUGCAUUUCUAUUCUUCAUGAGCCUGGGGAAGAUAAGUAUGGUUAUGAAAAGCCAGAAGAACGCUGGCUCCCUAUCCACACAGUGGAAACCAUCAUGAUUAGUGUCAUUUCUAUGCUGGCAGACCCUAAUGGAGACUCACCUGCUAAUGUUGAUGCUGCGAAAGAAUGGAGGGAAGAUAGAAAUGGAGAAUUUAAAAGAAAAGUUGCCCGCUGUGUAAGAAAAAGCCAAGAGACUGCUUUUGAGUGACAUUUAUUUAGCAGCUAGUAACUUCACUUAUUUCAGGGUCUCCAAUUGAGAAACAUGGCACUGUUUUUCCUGCACUCUACCCACCUAUUGCUGGACUUCUGUUGUACAAGUUGGCAAACACUGGCUGGAACUGGGCUGCAAUAAAACAUGCCAGUUAUCAAUGCUGACAAGAGCCUAACAAGUGCCAACUUACAGAUGAUUACGCAUUUGGAAUUCUAAUGAACUGUUUUAACCUUCAGGAAGAAUUGUAAAGACCUGUACAUAGCACAACAUGAUCCGGAUAAUAUAUAUACUGUUCAUGUACAUCCACAAAUACACCUUGUACCAAAUAAUGCUUUCUUGUAGUAGAAUAAGAAUCGUGUAAAUUCUAAAAGAUUUUAGCAGGUUUUCUUUCCUAUUCAUUGUUUCUUAUCAGUUUAAAAGGAUUCCUUUAAGCAUGUCAGAUGAAAAGCAAUUAGGAUUAAAAGUUUCCAUUUAAUUUCCCUUAAACCAUUGAGGCUUCAUUAAACUCUUUUCACUUACUAAACUUUUGUAUCUUCUUUGUUUUGACACACUCCCCUUUGCUUUUAUCUCUUAUCUGCCAGAAUGUUCUCAAAUGAUUUAGUUCCAAUACUGAAAUACUUAAUGAGCAAUUACUUGAUUUUUAAUGAUGACUUGGAAGGAGUCAUCACUAGGUGCUUUGUCCUUUUUAUAUUCUAGUUGCACCCACCUCUUGGAUUGGAUAUAGCAAUAACAUUUAUUGGCUGUUGUGAGCUCUUGAUCCCAGUCAUUACCCCCCGAGAACUAAAAAUAGAUGGUUCUUAAUUCAACUUAUGGAAAAUUUCCCCCAAACAAUAGCAAAUCUGACUUUUCCCCCUUCAGUUGCCCGGUAUUAAGGUUGGAUAAAUGAAGCAUGCACAGCUACAGGCUUUCUACCUAACUUCUGGGUUUGCUAUUACAGAUACUAUUUACUCUCAUACCCUUCUCCUUAGUCCUUCAUAUUUCUUUGCCUCUAUUCUUCUAUACUGCAGAUUUUUCUCACCUAUUGUACAAAGAAAUUGCGAUGUAUAUUUUCAUGUAAUUUGAUUUUGGAAUUCUGUCACCUUAUGUAGUGAGUUCUUCCAAAAUAUAAUUUUUUUUCAAUAAUUGUCAAGUUGUUGGCUUUUAUUGUAUUGAAUGAAGGCUAUAAUACUGAAUGCCAGAGAAGUGGUUUAGGAAAAUCUCAGGUUGAUUCCUUAUGCAAAUGAACUUUUAAUACUUGAAAAUCACAUGGCCAUGGCAGUAUAUGUAUUUGGUUCUAUCUAGACUCUCAUGUGAAUCUAAAAGCAUUACAGGGGUAAACACUUUGCUAUUUGACGUAUCCCAUCACUAACAAUAGUACACUUGGAUUUGAUUAAUGUUUGAGCUUAAAUAUAUUUCAUAUCAUACCGUUUUCUGAAACAACUUAAGCAAUUGGUAAAAUGAACAUGUGCAGUGUUAAAGGCAGGCCCUAGGCUCCUUUAUGUUGAUUGUGAGGUUGUGUGUGGGAAGUAGUCUUUGGCUUAUAAGGGAUAGAACUUGAAACAGUAGCAGAUGGGACAUGGUGUUUGAUUGUGAGAAUCAGUGAGAAUUCGUGCAUCUCUGCUCUGUGGGGUUUGCAGAAAUGCUUUGGCAGAAGAGUGAAGGAACUGCUGCCAAGAGCCCAGACCUCUACAAACGUUGUAUGUCCUUUUCUAAGCAGAAAUAAAAUGGUUGAGGAUGUCGUCACAGUAGAGAGUGAUUUUUUUCUAAACCCCUGUCUGUUCUCUACUCCGAAGCAUUAUAAAAACCCGUAAACAUUAUACAAACCCACAAACCUUAUAAAAACCCAUAAAUGUGUUGUGACUGGAAAUUGAUUCAUUGGAAACCAGUGUUCUUCAAGAACUUUGUGAGUUGGUUUUUUUCCAAAGACUCUGUAAAAAUAGUUGCCCCAAAAUGUCAGCACUGUACACCCUCAAGGGACUUGGAAUGCAAUCCUUUUUCCCUUUUUUUUUUUUUUUAAGAAACUGGGUCUCUCUGUCACCCAGGCUGGAGUGCAGUGGCAACGAUCAUAGCUAACUGCAGCUUUGACCUCCUGGGCUCAAGUGAUCCUCCUGCCUCAGCCUCCUGAGUAGCUAGGACUGUAGGUGUAUGCCACCAUGCCUGGCUAAUUAAAAAAAAAAUUUUUUAAGAGAUGGGAUCCCUCCCUUUUUACUCUUAAAUCAGAAAUUGUUCACAUGGUGGUUGCUUGUGGCAAAAUGGAGUUAGAAUUUUGCUCUCCUAUUGCUGUAAUUCUGCUAGCAAUCUAUUGAGGUGAAACUUGGGAUCUGACUCUUCAGCAAGCAGCAAAUGACCUAGUAACUCAGGGACAACUAUUUUUGAACUUUAAGUGCCACUUUAAUGCAGUUACUUUGAUAAAACCAUGUGUUUUUUUUUUUUUUUUUUUUUUUUUUUUAGGGCUAGCUCUAUGGGAGUGGAAGUAAGAGCCAGGAAUGAGUGCGUCUCUCUUCACGUGCUUUUCCACCUAGUGCCCUGACUCUGUUACACACUGAAACAGGCCUACAUAGAUGUUACGACUUCCCUUCCUCUGUCAGAGAUGUCAUCUGUGCCUUUCUCAGUGUUCAUCUGAUAAUGUAAAUUUAAAUGCCUCUACAUUUGAUAUGAAACCCACACUCAGGUGACACUGAACCAGGUGGCUUUUGUUCCACCAGUGCCUCACCAUCAAUGUGAGGCGAUUCUUCUCUGCUUUAGGAAAACGAUAUUUUCCCCCUGAACUUGUGCCAACCAUCAACAAUAUUUCCUUAGAUCUUAUGGAUUGUAGAACUGUUGGCUGUUUCCUAAAUUUAUUCCAAGUUCUUGUAGAGGCAUGUAGAUUUCAGUCUGUGCUCGUAUGGGAUAGACGAUCUCAGUGGCUUUCUGGCCUCUUGAGUUUAAAAUCCAUAUGAGGUUGACUUCUUGUUAUUCUAAGGUAACGUGUGUGAGGUUAUUCCACUAGUACUGUGAUCACGUGGGUGUCAGUAUCUUUAACGGCCUUCAUUCUUGGUUGGGAAAUUUGAUUUGAUGUGCUCGCUCACCCUCUACAAAUUUGCCCGCUCUGGGCUGUGGUGCCUGUGUAUCUUUGCCCCUCUGGUCUCCAGUUGGUGGAAUUACCUUUUUUUGUACUGCCACUUCUCAGCAUCUUUGAAAUUUGACAUAAUGUUGCUUCGUUUCAGUUUUUUUAGUUCUGUAAUUUGUUGAUUGUAUUUAACGAUGUGAGUUCUGUUGUGAUGUUGACUGUAUUGUAAAGCACCUCGUUCAUGUGAUGGGUGCUCUAUAAAUCAAUAAAUGACGACUUAGAGGCUGUA